UACGGUGGAGGCAAGCGUUAUCCGGAAUUAUUGGGCGUAAAGCGUCCGUAGGUGGUGAUCCAAGUCUUUUGUCAAAGCGCGAGGCUUAACUUCGUACCGGCAGGAGAAACUGGGUGACUAGAGUGCGGUAGGGGUCAGGGGAAUUCCCAGUGUAGCGGUGAAAUGCGUAGAUAUUGGGAAGAACACCGGUGGCGAAAGCGCCUGACUGGGCCUGCACUGACACUGAGGGACGAAAGCUAGGGGAGCGAAAGGG
rnacentral:rRNA from 1 species